CGCAUGUACCGACACAAACCUAGAUGGCACAGCGUACGCCACACUGGGCUAUAUGGUGUAUGUCAUCCUAUGGGGCCACCAUCAUAUAUGCGCUCUGUUGUUGAUUGAAGCAUGCUUAGGCGCCCCAUGACAGUAAUUAGUUAAGACAGAGUAGGGUCUACCCUACUCCAGUGUGACUGGUGUCCUUACAAAAAAGGGGACUUUAAACUCAGAAGUAUAUAUCCAGGGUAAAUGCCACGUGGAGGCAAAGGCAGAGGUCAGAGUGAUCCUUCUACAAGCCACAGGAUCACAGAGCAAGCAGAGAACCAUUCACAGCUGGGGCAGAGGCCUGGAACUCAUUCUCCCUGCAGCCCUUGAACGAAAUGCCUUGCCGAUACCUUGAUCUCAGACUUCUGACCUCCAGAACUUGCACAUGUUCUAUUGCAAACAGGAAAAAAAGAAGAUAAAAAGAAAAAAAGAAAAGUUCUCAAAAGCCUUUCCAGAGAAGGUGACUUUGAGCAGUGUCUGCAUUUAUCACAGUCACGGUGAAAGCUCUGGCCACAGCCCACGCAGGGAGCCGGACACUGUGGGGAUGGCACUGCAUGUGAUCCGUCUAACAAGCGGGAAGGUGGAUGACUGUUCUCUCCGUGCUGCAGCACUCCCGUCUAGCAGGGCUCCUCGGAAAAUGCAAUUUGAGUCAAGC